GACGAACGCUGGCGGCGUGCUUAACACAUGCAAGUCGAACGGAAAGGCCUUUUCGGAGGUACUCGAGUGGCGAACGGGUGAGUAACACGUGGGUGAUCUGCCCUGCACUCUGGGAUAAGCCUGGGAAACUGGGUCUAAUACCGGAUAGGACCGCACUUUAGUGUGUGUGGUGGAAAGUUUUUUCGGUGUAGGAUGAGCCCGCGGCCUAUCAGCUUGUUGGUGGGGUAAUGGCCUACCAAGGCGGCGACGGGUAGCCGGACUGAGAGGUUGGUCGGCCACAUUGGGACUGAGAUACGGCCCAGGCUCCUACGGGGGGGAGGAGUGGGGAAUAUUGCACAAUGGGCGCAAGCCUGAUGCAGCGACGCCGCGGGGGGGAUGACGGCCUUCGGGUUGUAAACGCCUUUCGCCAGGGACGAAGCGUUUUGUGACGGUACCUGGAGAAGAAGCACCGGCUAACUACGUG
rnacentral:rRNA from 1 species